CUAACAGUUUCAUGAUCACAACUGAAAUAAAAUUUCUAUUUUAGGAUUUAAAAGAGCAGUAAGAUGACAGAUAAGAAAUUACAAAAAGAGAAGGCUCCUCUGAUAUUAUAAAGAAGCCAGUAAAGCAAAAACAUGAGAAAGACAUACCAGACUCAGAAGAAACCUUUUAUCUAAAAAUGCACUGCUCCAGGUAGAAACCAGUUCAACAUCAACAGCACCUGUCCAGGCACUCUAGGACUUACUGUCUCCUAGCUUUAAAAUGGGAAAAGAUAGCACAGAAAGAAAGGAACAGAGACCCUCAGCAAUAGGUCCUGCUCUGACCGCCACCUCUGCCCUCCCCCCUGUCACACCCGAGAGAGAGCGAGGACAGUGGACUGGGGCUCUCGGGCCAACCGUGACCACACCUUCCAGACGCCUCCUGUAUAGCAGCCACACAGGAGCCAGGAUUCAGCUUCUCAAGAUCUUUGUAACUGCUCCGUCACACCUCUUCCUGUUAUCCCACAUCCAAACUCUCCACUCACUACUUACAAAUAGAAACCGUCAGAUUCAGUCGACUCAGACUCCUCCCCAUCCCAGGUAAGCAUGACGCUCCUUCCUGUCUGUGGCCCUUGGCCAGGCGGCCCCGGCUUCUGGAGACCAAUUCUAUGUCAACAUCCAUGAAAUCAGCUCUGAUUUUUUCCACUCUAUCAUCUGAAUUGAGGUGGAAUGUUUACUUUUUUAACAGCUGGCUCCAAAGUUUUUCUUCCAGACGGCUGUAUUUGUUUAGGAAAAAGAUUUUAAGGAUAAGUUUACAAUGAAACAAAGAAACAGACACACCCCAAGCACACACAAAAGCUAAAACACUGUACAUGAAAUGAAUGGAAAUUGACAGUGGGAAAAGGAAGUGUUGAGGCUCAGGCCUGGAGAGGAGUCAAGUCAGACAUACUAGAGUCCUUAGAAACUGAAUAAUUUUACAAAUAAGAAUGUCUACUGAAUGUUACGUUUUUUGCUUAAAUUUAUAUAAAUCCUCCUUCAUGGUCCCAAACCUUAAAUUGGAUCUUCUACCCACACAAAUACAUUUUCAACUGGAAAAUAGGGAGGAUGGAAAACAAACAAAAGACCACAAUGACUGAGGUAAGAGAAUCUCAAGUUAGAACCUGGGAAAAUUAGCAAUUUAGUGAAGCCCUGUCUCAAAAUUUAAAAAAAAAAUUUUUUAAAGGGUGAGGGUAUAGAGAGAAGGAAAGAUGGAGAAAGGGGGUGGGUUACAUAAGAAACUCCAAGAGGAAAUGGAGAGUGACAGGCCACAGCACAGAGGCAGGGAGUCCAACUCCAGAUCUUGCUCGCCUUUCAGUUCCGCCAUGUUGUCUUCAGACCGAGUCUGAAGCAGAUUAAAAAUGGCCGACAGAUCCUCUGCAGCUCCGCCCCUCCAGAAGAUGAGUCCACUUCCCCAUUCCUGACCUGCACUAGCAUGGUGACUUCCUCGCCCUCACAGAAUAUCCCUAAGGGGCCUUUUGCUCCUGAACCUGAGCCUCGAUGGCCUUACAGCUUCUGCCCUCCCCUGCUGAAUACAGCACCUUAAAGCAAGAAGGGAGAGAGGCCCACACAGCCUCCGGGCUGAGGCCCAGACAUCUGAACAAGCCCAGCCCAUACCAGGUGAGCAGUUCCAGCUCAGUCUGUCCCAAACUGCCAAACACAAAUUGGAGCAAACAAAAGAUUAUUUUAAGUUACUGCAGUUUGGAGAGAUUUGCUAUGCAACAGUGGAAAAUUGAUAUAGGAACCGACACCCAAACCAGGGGAAUUUGUUUAAUGUGAAAAUAAUUUCAACACAUCAUUUUAUCCAUUCCAGAGCAACCUGGAAAAAAGUUGCUUGUUCAAGUGAUGGCUCGACCAACAUAUGAUUAUAUCAUCUUCUUUUAUUUGAGAAAAAUGUAGGAUAAAGCAUUCCAAUUGCAGUCAUCUGCAGUCAUCUCCCAUUGUAUUUGUUCCUAAAAAGAAAAUAUAACCAAAACCCCAGUAGACAAAUGUGCUGGCUCUGAGGAAGAAUGAAUCCAUUGUGUAUAGUCUGGAGAAUUGGAGCUAGUCUUCGCUGGUUUUGGUGUGUUUGAGCUAGUUGGAAGAUGUGUCUUACUAUCUCUAAUUAGGAUGCUGCUGAAUCUAAAGAAAUUUAAAUCAAACCUGAACAGACAUCUACUGUUAAGAUCUCAUCUUGGCACUCACUGGCACAUUCUCUCUCCCUCUCCUCCUCCCUUCCUCCCUUUCUCCUAUAAAUUGUAUUUAUUUUCUACCCAUAGGGCCAUCCUCCCCACGUUCCCUUUGUAGUAAAUCCUAAACUCAUGCCUCUAGCACUGCUUAGAGAUGUGCCAUUGUUGACUUCAGCUGUGCAAUUGCCUGUAAAAAUAGGCAAAAGAAUAUGGAAUUCAGCAAACAGGAUGGUUUAUUACUCCCUUCAAGGCAAUGAGAGACUUUGACUCUUAUCCCAUCAAUAUUUUCUCCUCUUCGGUCAAUAUUUUUUGAUCUCCAUCUCAGUAGAAGUCAAUUGCUUCUUAUUAAUCUCUUUUGGCAAUAACAGUUGCUAUGAGCCAAUGACCUGAAAUGUAUGGGAUCAGAGAACUGAAUUUACAGCUACGGGCCUGGUACCUGGUAGUGGAGGUUUCUUUAGAAGGCUCUUUAUGUAUCACGGGCCUAAAGGUCAAUAUUUUGUAAAUAUCAUUAUUGUAUUCAUAAUGAAAACAAUUUAUUUUUAUGGACUAACUAGAAAUUACAAAAAAAUAUAGAAAAGAAAAGUGGCAUUUCUUAUAAUUACCAUAAUAAGGGAUAACCACUGAUAUCUUCCUAAAAAUGUAUAAAUAUGUGGAGCAAUGUACACAUCUAGGCACACAUAAGAAAAACAGUGAACAAUUAACAUUAUAUUAUUCAAAGCAUUUUUUCUGCCUUUAAUUCUUUAAAUGGUAAAUUUUUCUCCAAUUUCUUACACGUAUCUUCAAGGAAAUGCUUUUUAACAUGGCAUAGUAGUCUAGUAUGUGCAUCUAAUAUAUACGGCAAAUAUUGAAUUGGAAAGGAACACAAAAAAUUGAAGAAAUAAUGAAAAAUGUUCAAUAUAGUAAUUGUAGUAGAACUUUCUACAUUUGUCCAAACUCAUCAAACUGUUUCCUUCUCUCCCUCUCUCCCUCUCCCUCUUUCUCACACCCUCUCCCCCUACUCUCUCUCUGUGUCUUUCUCUCUCUCGUUUUUGUGGUGCUACAGAUUGAUCCCUGGGUGCUCUACCCCUAAGCCACACCUCUAGCUGCAAAACUAUAUACUUUAAAAGGGUGUGUGUGUGUGUGUGUGUGUGUGUGUGUGUGUGUGCCCUUUUUAUUUCUGUUUUAAGAAAGGGUCUCACUAAGUUGCUCAAGCUGGGUUCAAACUUGCAAUCCUCCUAUUUCAACCUCCCAGAGUGCUGGGAUUACAGGUGUGCUCCAUGAUAUCCAGCUUUAAAAGUUAAACUUUCAUUGAUAUCUCAACCUGGGCAUGGUGGUUCAUGCCUGUAAUUGCAACUGCAAUACUGUGGAAGGCUGAGGCAGGAGGAUUACAAGUUGGAGCUCAGCCCAGGCAACUGAAGGACUUAAUGAGUCUAUCUCAAAAUAAAAAGCAAAAGUGGACUGGGGAUGUAGCUCAGUGCCAAAGCACUGGGUUCAACCCCUGGUAACACACUAUCAAUAAAUUAGACCAAAGAAGAAGAAGAAA
rnacentral:lncRNA from 1 species